CUGGCGGUAGGCUUAACACAUGCAAGUCGUGCGAGAAAGUAUCUUCGGAUAUGAGUAGAGCGGCGGACGGGUGAGUAACGCGUAGGAAUCUACCUAGUAGAAGGGGAUAGCCCGGGGAAACCCGGAUUAAUACCGUAUACCUCCUUCGGGAGAAAGAAGGCCUCUCUUUGAAGCUUUCGCUACUAGAUGAGCCUGCGUAAGAUUAGCUUGUUGGUGAGGUAAAGGCUCACCAAGGCUACGAUCUUUAGCUGGUCUGAGAGGACGAUCAGCCACAUUGGGACUGAGACACGGCCCAGACUCCUACGGGAGGCAGCAGUGGGGAAUAUUGGACAAUGGGCGCAAGCCUGAUCCAGCCAUACCGCGUGUGAAGAAGGCCUUCGGGUUGUAAAGCACUUUAAGCAGGGAGAAAAAGUUAUAAGUUAAUACCUUAUAACCCUGAUGUUACCUGCAGAAUAAGCACCGGCUAAUUCCGUGCCAGCAGCCGCGGUAAUACGGAAGGUGCAAGCGUUAAUCGGAAUUACUGGGCGUAAAGCGCGCGUAGGUGGUUUGUUAAGUUGGAUGUGAAAGCCCUGGGCUCAACCUAGGAACUGCAUCCAAAACUAACUCACUAGAGUACGAUAGAGGGAGGUAGAAUUCAUAGUGUAGCGGUGGAAUGCGUAGAUAUUAUGAAGAAUACCAGUGGCGAAGGCGGCCUCCUGGAUCUGUACUGACACUGAGGUGCGAAAGCGUGGGUAGCGAACAGGAUUAGAUACCCUGGUAGUCCACGCCGUAAACGAUGACAACUAGCUGUUGGGAGACUAUGUC
rnacentral:rRNA from 1 species